UAGAGAUAUGCUUUACUUUUUGCAAUUCAUCUUUUGAAUUAGAUUUCCUCUAAAUCUGUUCCUACCAUAUUAUAUGAGUUAUGAUAUGGUAAGAAGCCAACUCUUGGGUAUCUCAAGAUUUAGGGAUGUUUGAUCCAUGUCAAGCGACAGUAGGUGGACAAGUUAGAGGUUAGAUCCUUUAGGGCUCACUUUACAGGGUAUCCUAAAAAAUUAUGGGAUACUACUUCUAUCUUCUUGAGGAUCACAAUGUGAUUUGAGCCGUCAUGCUAUCUUCUUGAAAAGAGAAUAUAUCCAAGAUGGAGGCAAU
rnacentral:lncRNA from 1 species